AUUGAACGCUGGCGGCAUGCCUUACACAUGCAAGUCGAACGGUAACAGGUUAAGCUGACGAGUGGCGAGCGGGUGAGUAAUGUAUCGGAACGUGCCCAGUCGUGGGGGAUAACUGCUCGAAAGAGCAGCUAAUACCGCAUACGACCUGAGGGUGAAAGCGGGGGAUCGCAAGACCUCGCGCGAUUGGAGCGGCCGAUAUCAGAUUAGGUAGUUGGUGAGGUAAAGGCUCACCAAGCCGACGAUCUGUAGCUGGUCUGAGAGGACGACCAGCCACACUGGGACUGAGACACGGCCCAGACUCCUACGGGAGGCAGCAGUGGGGAAUUUUGGACAAUGGGCGCAAGCCUGAUCCAGCCAUGCCGCGUGCGGGAAGAAGGCCUUCGGGUUGUAAACCGCCUUUGUCAGGGAAGAAAAGGUUCUGGCUAAUACCUGGGACUCAUGACGGUACCUGAAGAAUAAGCACCGGCUAACUACGUG
rnacentral:rRNA from 1 species